CCGGUGUGAAGGGUGCAGGUUGGACUGCUCUGUGAGAUACUUAGAAAUUGGCGACAGGACAAAGGGAAACGGCAACAAACUGAAGCCUAUAAAGUUCUGCACAAAUGAUACAGUGCGUGCCAUAGAACUGGCAAUGUCUCAAGAGUACAAGAACCAUCAGCCAAUGCAGUGGUACACAUCCAGCAUGCAACUGGGAUGCUGCCAGCGGGGCUGCAUGGGUGCUGAGACGUGCUCACGGAUCCCACAGGUUAGGUCCAAUUCCUGCUGCAGAACAAAGCCAUGCAGGUUUUGUGACAUAAUUCUUCAUUGUGGUAUGAGAGUAUGUAUGUAAAAUGGAGCAUUUUUUCUGCUAACCUGGAAGAUUCACCAGGUUUCACUCUCAUCACAGAAGUAAAUCAAGCAAUCCAGACUGAACGGCCAAACUUCUGCCUGAAGGCAGAUUAUGAUGACAUUCUGAUUAAAUGUAGUAUUCUUCUGCA